rnacentral:rRNA from 1 species
AUACGGAGGGUGCAAGCGUUGUUCGGAAUUACUGGGCGUAAAGCGCGUGCAGGCGGUAAGGUAAGUCAGAUGUGAAAGCCCCGGGCUCAACCCGGGAAGUGCAUUUGAUACUGCCUUUCUUGAGUAUGGGAGAGGAGAGUGGAAUUCCCAGUGUAGAGGUGAAAUUCGUAGAUAUUGGGAGGCACACCCGUGGCGAAGGCGACUCUCUGGACCAAUACUGACGCUGAGACGCGAAAGCGUGGGGAGCGAACAGGAUUAGAAACCCCAGUAGUCC